ACAAAUCUCCAAAAUAGCACCUUUCUAAGUUUAUAUCACAAAAUAGCACUCAAAAACUAAAAUGACCAAAAUAGCAUUUUAUCUUUUGAAAAAUUUAAAUUUCUUUAUUUUUCAAAAUUUGAAAUCUUAUCCCCAAAACCUCACUUCUCAACUCUAAACCCUAAAACCUAAACUCUAAACCCUAAACCCUAAACCCUAAACUCCACCCCU
rnacentral:lncRNA from 1 species